rnacentral:lncRNA from 1 species
AGCGUGGUAUAGGACACUAGAUCUUGAGAUGCAACUCUUUCUGUCAGGGAUCCCUGGGACAAGCUCCUUCCGUAAGGACCCCGACACUUUCCACUCUUGCUGAGGUAACACUGGAGAGGAGGCGAGGGGGGACUGGUCUCCUCUCACUUUCUCUCCAAGAGAGUUUUCUGCUCAAGUGGAAAGAGUGGAGGGCAUUGUGGGAAGGAGCUUGUCCGAGGGAUGUACGGGUAGACGUUCCAACCAGAACUCUGCGUUCCGACGUCCCCGCGUGCUUCCGUCUCCUUCUCCCCCUCAAUUUCUAGCCAAAUAGACUCGGAAUAAAGUGGCCCCUGUGUGGUGCGUGUCCCGGCAGUUGCUGACACCCGUUGCCCACUGGCCGCAGGUUCGGAACGAGGAGAGCGGGCUGUGCAUCGACACGCAGUUCAAGGGCCAGAACGAGCGGUUCUCGCUGGCGCCCUGCCUCAAGGACCAGCGGGGUCGGUCCGGGGAACAGCAGCUCGUGCUCACCUGGCACAAGGACGUGCGGCCGGCCAAGCGCAGUGUCUGCUUCGACGUGUCCAGCUCGGACGUCCACGCGCCCGUCAUGCUCUGGAGCUGCCACGGCAUGCACGGCAACCAGCUGUGGAAGUACGACACGGUGACGAAGCAUUUGUUCCAUCCAAUCACCGCCAACUGCCUGGACUGUGACGCGAAAAGUCACGAAGUCUUCAUGAGUAUAUGUGAUAGUGACGUUCGCACGCAGCGAUGGCUUUUCGAACACGUCAACGAAACAGCCCUGGCCAACUGGUGAUCCGUCGUACCCCCCCUGGAAAAUCAGCGAUGUGUGACAUAAUGACGGUCCAUCCUUGGCUUUCGAACUGAAAGCAAACCAAGCCGGGUUCUUCAGCAAGGAUGGCGGGACGGUGCUUUUGAGAGAAAAAAAAAACGCACCCAUGUGUUCUAUAAGGCAUUCCGGGGAUGUCCCAACGGUGUUUCGAGGGUCGUCCAGGAUUUCCCCAAGUGGAUUUGGAGAACGUCCCGAAUACUUAUUGAAGUGGUAGCCCAAGUUACUUCUGGAUGCUGUCGGCAGUUUCGCGAGGGAGUUAUUCCAGUUUCAUUCGCGGGAUCUGUCGGAAAUACGUCGACGAUAGCAGUAAGACGGCGUUGUCUCCGCGCAAUGUGAUUCUGUGGUCUGCACUGCUGGGAACUUCAUGUGUGUCAAAAUGUGUGUCUACUCUUCCAAUUGACUAAGACGGCCGAUGCGUCGAGACAGUUUUCGCCUUCGCGGCUGGACAAGUGCGCGCUCUUUUACGCGUGUGAAGUUUAUAAGUGGCCGUGCUUGUGGGCCAGGUAUGUAAGCAUUCCUACAGCAGUAUCUCGCAGAAAGUGCGUAACGGUUUGUGAGACGCUUAAAUACGCUUCUCGUGAGUAACUAAUGCCACUGGUACGUUGUGGGACGUCUCGCUUGAACCGCCAAAAGAUCUCGAGACGGAACAGAACUACAAGAAAACUCGUCGCGUGCCAAGUCCACGACUCUUUGCUUCACUUGCGCGCCAGACCCAAAACUACGAUCGGUAUUUCAGUAACCCGAGACGAACUUUGAACUUUUUUUUCGAUCUUUUUCUCUUUCUUUCUUUCUCUCUCUCUCUUUGUCUGUGACUUUUUUUUUCAAGUGACUACAACUUCGAACAUGCUGAAGUCCGCCGUUCAGCCAUCCAACGUUAAUCAUGAUCGAUGGCCACUCCACGAAUGAGCCGAAACUUUCUUCGAACUUUUCAAGCCAUCCGUCUCUCGGAAAACGUUUUCUUCCGCUUUUAAGGCGCACUCAUCGUAAGAGCAGUAAAACAUUCGAAAGGGGCAAGGUCUAGUCCGUUACGAAGACCCCUUGUGCCUGGUAUACCUGGUAUGCCUGCGCCUGGUAUGCCAGUGACUGGUAAGCUAGGGCCUGGUAUGUCUGUGCCUGGUAUACUGGUGCCUGGUGUGCCUGGGCUUGGUAUACAUGUGGAGGUAUGCCUCUCUAGGUAUGCUUGUUCCUGGCAUGCCUGUCCCAGUAUUCAUGUCCCUGGUAUGCCGCUUCACCGCCCAUCGUUGGGACUGAAUCUGCUGUGCAUCCCAUUCACACCAUGCGCAGCAAUCCAUAGCUUUUUUUUUUUUCUCUCUAAAUUUGUUUUUCUUCGAAACUUUGGGUCCGUGCCUUUCGGUUUUAGUCACGAAGCUCAAAUGCCUUGGUGCUUUUUGAAGUGUUGGUUGUGUCUUUAUAUAUAUAUAAACAAAUACGGGGCGUACGAGAGCUGAACUUCGAUCGUUUGUGUUUGUUGUGAAUGAAGAGAUGUGCGACUGGAAGGUUAUGAGGACUAGGUUCCUCGUUAGGGUAGCGUUUUGGCCAAAAUUGAUUGUACACUGCGUCGCUCUAAUGAAGAGUGCAGCCGAUGCUACGAGCCAUUCAGGGGAGAUUAAAGAUGAGUCAUCUUUAGCCUGACCCGGCAUGCAGCUCCGGUGGUACAUGAACGCUCUAAGUCAAGUAAAUUGUCAUGCUUUCGCAUAAACCCGGGUGAGUUUAUCAAACAAUGCACACCUUAACUUCCUAGAACCUGCAUGCUUGUCAAGUCGACCAUUGUCGCGUCCAAUUGGCUCACAAAGAAAACUACCUAGCGUACUCUAAAGUGUAGAUAACGAACCUAUAAACAGGGACAGAGAUAUUAAUGUUUAAAAUAUCAGCUGUCUUAAUCUCAGUCUUAAUUUGCUUUUACUACCAACGUGAUCCUGUAAAUCCUUUAAUAAGAUUUUUUUUAAUAUUAUAGUUACGAAAUGCUUAAGAAACGCAGGGCAUGGUGAUUCCCUAUCAUCGGAUGGAUGGAUGGAUGCUAACGGCUGUAUCUUUUAUAACGGGCGGUAGCUUGCGCCACCUAGCCUAUUAUCUUUUCGCGACCAAUCAGAUUGUGGCAAUGGACAGUACGAAUGUUGAAGAACGAACCAGGAACCAAGAAGCGAGAAGGUAGUAAAUAAACCACGCCCUGCGUUCCUUAACAUGUCACUGACUAUAGAAAAAAUGUUCUGUAAUUUAAAGAUGCUUUCAGCGAAGGUGUUUUUUUGCUUCUCAUUCGGCUGGGACCGUGAUACGUUUCGGAAGUGAUUUCGUCGCACCGUAGGCCAUCGUUUUCCUCGCGCUCUUUAUUUUUUAUGUCUUUGUUUUAUUUUUUCAUCUUAGAACAGAUUGUUUUCCUUAAAAGAGUUGCGAUUGUGUACAUGUGUGUGCUUGUGGUACUUCACGUGCUGGUACAGGGUGCGUAGUACUUUCACUUGAUCUUGUUACAAGAACCAUUCCGAUCUUUCACUGACAAUUUAAGUGUUCUUGGUGAACGUGCCCUUUCCUUCUUGCUACUCCGUCGAAACUCAAAAUACCGACGUGAUUGAGACUUGUGCUCGAAAGUGCUCUUCGACAAAGAUAAACAAAGCAAAAAAUAAAAUGGCACGUCGUUAUUUUUGAUGGAGAGCUAGAAGGCGUUUCUUUAGAUGGGGAACGAGUAUGGUCUGACGAAAAGAACUUCGAAAAUAAAAGUUGUUUUCUUUUUGUU